rnacentral:rRNA from 1 species
UGGAGAGUUUGAUCCUGGCUCAGAUUGAACGCUGGCGGCAGGCCUAACACAUGCAAGUCGAGCGGUAGAGAGGAGCUUGCUUCUCUUGAGAGCGGCGGACGGGUGAGUAAUGCCUAGGAAUCUGCCUAGUGGUGGGGGAUAACGUUCGGAAACGGACGCUAAUACCGCAUACGUCCUACGGGAGAAAGCGGGGGACCUUCGGGCCUCGCGCCAUUAGAUGAGCCUAGGUCGGAUUAGCUAGUUGGUGAGGUAACGGCUCACCAAGGCGACGAUCCGUAACUGGUCUGAGAGGAUGAUCAGUCACACUGGAACUGAGACACGGUCCAGACUCCUACGGGAGGCAGCAGUGGGGAAUAUUGGACAAUGGGCGCAAGCCUGAUCCAGCCAUGCCGCGUGUGUGAAGAAGGUCUUCGGAUUGUAAAGCACUUUAAGUUGGGAGGAAGGGCAGUAAGCGAAUACCUUGCUGUUUUGACGUUACCGACAGAAUAAGCACCGGCUAACUCUGUGCCAGCAGCCGCGGUA